AACGCGAAGAACCUUACCAGGGUUUGACAUCCUCUGUAACCUGCAGAAAUGCAGUCCCCAUGGCAACAUGGCAGAGAGACAGGUGCUGCAUGGCUGUCGUCAGCUCGUGUCGUGAGAUGUUGGGUUAAGUCCCGCAACGAGCGCAACCCUCGUCGAGUGUUGCCAGCAUUUAGUUGGGCACUCACUCGAGACCGCCGUCGAUAAGACGGAGGAAGGUGGGGAUGACGUCAAGUCCGCAUGGCCCUUACAUCCUGGGCGACACACGUGCUACAAUGGCCGGUACAGCGAGCAGCAAGACCGCGAGGUCAAGCCAAUCUCAGAAAACCGGUCUCAGUUCGGAUCGAAGGCUGCAACUCGCCUUCGUGAAGUCGGAAUCGCUAGUAACCGCAGAUCAGCCACGCUGCGGUGAAUACGUUCCCGGGCCUUGUACACACCGACGCGUA
rnacentral:rRNA from 1 species